rnacentral:rRNA from 1 species
UACAGGGGGGGCAAGCGUUGUUCGGAAUUACUGGGCGUAAAGGGCUCGUAGGCGGCCAACUAAGUCCGACGUGAAAUCCCAAAGCUUAACUUUGGAACUGCGUCGGAUACUGGAUGGCUUGAAUUCGGGAGAGGGAUGCAGAAUUCCAGGUGUAGCGGUGAAAUGCGUAGAUAUCUGGAGGAAUACCGGUGGCGAAGGCGGCAUCCUGGACCGACAUUGACGCUGAGGAGCGGAAGCUAGGGGAGCAAACGGG